rfam:Brachypodium distachyon strain Bd21 chromosome 1, whole genome shotgun sequence.
GUCAAAUGAUGCUAAAACAAGAUAUUCCUGAGAUAUUCUUUGAGGAAUUACAAAAUCGAGCUUUUUAAAACUGAUGGUU